UACGUGGGAGGCAAGCGUUAUCCGGAUUUACUGGGCGUAAAGGGCGUGCAGGUGGUUUGCUAAGUGGUGCGUGAAAGCGCUCGGCUCAACCGGGCGAGGCCGUGCCAAACUGGCAGACUGGAAACAGGCAGAGGAAAGUGGAAUUCGGGGUGUAGUGGUGAAAUGCGUAGAGAUCCCGAGGAACUCCAGUGGCGAAGGCGACUUUCUGGGCCUGCUUUGACACUCAGACGCGAAAGCAUGGGGAGCGAACGGG
rnacentral:rRNA from 1 species